UGAGUGUAGUCUGGCCCAGGAGUGUGAAGGUGAACGGAAAGGCUCUGGAGCAACGAACCGCCCUUGCUGUCUCUGCCUGGCCGGUUCCCCUCUCUCCACUGGGAUUCUCUUCCUCUAACCCUAUUACAGGGGCUGAGUCACUGGCUUACUGGUGCUCUUCCAUGCCGUCCCUAGGAGGAGUGCGUCACUUGAGUGAGUCACUGAUGUGAUUUUCCUGUCCGGGUUGGCAUCCCCCUCGGGUUCAUGCCGUGGGGGAAAUCUUUGUGGGCUAUACUCAGCCUUGUCUCAGGGUAGUAAGUUGGUGGUUGAAGAUAUCCCUCUAGUGAUGUGGGGGCUGUGCUUUGGCAAAGUGGGUGGGGUUAUAUCCUGCCUGUUUGGCCCUGUCUGCGGGUAUCACCGGACGGGGCCACAGUGUCUCCCGACCCCUCCUGUCUCAGCCUCCAGUAUUUAUGCUGCAGUAGUUUAUGUGUCGGGGGGCUAGGGUCAGUCUGUUAUAUCUGGAGUAUUUCUCCUGUCUUAUCCUGUGUCCUGUGUGAAUUUAAGUUUGCUCCCUCUAAUUCUCUCCCUCUCCCUCUCCCUCCCCUCCUGGAGGACCUGAGCCUAGGACCAUGCCUCAGGGAUACCUGGCCUGAUGACUCCUUGCUGUCCCCAGUCCACCUGGUUGUGCUGCUGCUCCAGUUUCAACUGUUCUGCCUGCGGCUAUGGAACCCUGACCUGUUCACCGGACGUGCUAUCUGUCCCAGACCUGCUGUUUUCAACUCUCUAGAGACAGCAGGAGCGGUAGAGAUACUCUGAAUGAUCAGCUAUGAAAAGCCAACUGACAUUUACUGAGGUGCUGACCUGUUGCACCCUCGACAACCACUGUGAUUAUUAUUAUUUGACCAUGCUGGUCAUCUAUGAACAUUUGAACAUCUUGGCCAUGUUCUGUUAUAAUCUCCACUCGGCACAGCCAGAAGAGGACUGGCCACCCCUCAUAGCCUGGUUCCUCUCUAGGUUUCUUCCUAGGUUCUGGCCUUUCUAGGGAGUUUUUCCUAUCCACCGUGCUUCUACACCUGCAUUGCUUGCUGUUUGGGGUUUUAGGCUGGGUUUCUGUACAGCACUUUGAGAUAUCAGCUGAUGUAAGAAGGGCUAUAUAAAUACAUUUGAUUUGAUUGACAUACAAAUGAUAAGACACACACUCUACACACACGUACACAUGUUGGUCUGAGGUAAAACACUAAAUGUAUUGUAGUUAUGUGGUCUGAGGUAACACACUAAAUGUAUUGUAGAUAUGUGGUCUGACGUAAAACACUAAAUGUAUUGUAGAUAUGUGGUCUGACGUAACACACUAAAUGUAUUGUAGAUAUGUGGUAGUAGUGGUCUGAGGUAAAACACUAAAUGUAUUGUAGAUAUGUGGUAGUAGUGGUCUGAGGUAACACACUAAAUGUAUUGUAGAUAUGAGGUCUGAGGUAAAACACUAAAUGUAUUGUAGAUAUGUGGUCUGAGGUAACACACUAAAUGUAUUGUAGAUAUGUGGUAGUAGUGGUCUGAGGUAAAACACUAAAUGUAUUGUAGAUCUGU
rnacentral:lncRNA from 1 species